rnacentral:rRNA from 1 species
UACGUAGGGUGCAAGCGUUAAUCGGAAUUACUGGGCGUAAAGCGUGCGCAGGCGGUGAUGUAAGACAGGUGUGAAAUCCCCGGGCUUAACCGGGGAACUGCAUUUGUGACUGCAUCGCUGGAGUGCGGCAGAGGGGGAUGGAAUUCCGCGUGUAGCAGUGAAAUGCGUAGAUAUGCGGAGGAACACCGAUGGCGAAGGCAAUCCCCUGGGCCUGCACUGACGCUCAUGCACGAAAGCGUGGGAAGCAAACAGG